UGCCAGACUCCUACGGGAGGCAGCAGUGAGGAAUAUUGGUCAAUGGGCUUACGCCUGAACCAGCCAAGUCGCGUGAGGGAAGACUGCCCUAUGGGUUGUAAACCUCUUUUGUCAGGGAGCAACGCCGGCUACGUGUAGCCGGACUGAGAGUACCUGAAGAAAAAGCAUCGGCUAACUACGUGCCAGCAGCCGCGGUAAUACGUGGGGGGCAAGCGUUAUCCGGAUUUACUGGGUGUAAAGGGAGCGUAGACGGCAUGGCAAGUCAGAUGUGAAAGCCCGGGGCUCAACCCCGGGACUGCAUUUGAAACUGUCAGGCUGGAGUGCAGGAGAGGUAAGUGGAAUUCCUAGUGUAGCGGUGAAAUGCGUAGAUAUUAGGAGGAACACCAGUGGCGAAGGCGGCUUACUGGACUGUAACUGACGUUGAGGCUCGAAAGCGUGGGGAGCAAACAGGAUUAGAUACCCGGGUAUA
rnacentral:rRNA from 1 species